UUGAUGGGGCACUCCUUUGUGUAGAGAACCAUCCUGCAGUAAGAACAGAGUGAGGUCGGCAUGCUGCGAGCAGCAGAGGUUGUCACCACCCCUCGAGCAGCGCGUCCCUGUUGCCUGCAUCCUCCCCAGCAUUUGGCGACGUCUGUGCUCUGGACUGCAGCCCUUCUAGAAGAUCAUAAUCUGAGGAGAGUGAGCAGGAGAAAUUCAGGCUCAGUCAAGAAAUAAAUAAACAGCACAAAGAAUGACAAGAGUAGACACAACUUUAACGAAGAGAAAUUUAAAGUAAAUACCACAUGCUGAUACUGAUUUACAUGGUACCAAAAAUUGGAAAAUAGAGA